CCCAAACUCUUAAUUAAUUCCACUUCAGUCCCUGUUCCUGCUCCAGCGUGCUUUCGUGCGGCGGAGCUUCACGUUCCGUGGCCGGCGACGAGCCAUUGACGGCGGCUGGCCGAGAAUCUUCCCCUCCGAGCUCGAGUCGCCAUCUCUGUCGAAGCGAAGCGUGGCCGGACAGGAGGCGAAUUAGGCGACUUGGUUCGUGUUCUUCCUUCGUUGUAUAAUGUCGGAAUCCUCCUUUUUGGGUAUGGAAUUGAAGUUUCGAUGGGUAUUCGUCUCGAAACCGGACUGAUUCGUGCGGAGGAAGGUGUAAUGUGUCCGGGAUGGAUGUUUUAGUGUAGAGGAAGAGAAGAAGCUGGGCGAAUUGGAAUGUGUUGGUCAAGUUUGUGUUUGGUAUUAAGCAUUCUGAUGCUGUUGAUGAGUGGCCUUUGACUCUGAUCCAUCCUGACAGUGAGAGUCAUGGCACCUGCUUUUAGUGCUUGAAUUGGGAUCCCCGAAUUGAUGUCGGGCAUUGUUCGCUGGCAUCUUGCAUCUGAUUUUGGGAAGUGUUGUGGAAAUUGGAUUUGACUCUCGCGAGUGUUAUGCGCCGGGCUACAGUUUAUGGGUAUUUAACUGGCAUCAUCUCCAAUCUGAGUCCAUGACAUUGAUUAGCUACUUAGACCCCGUUCGUUCCUUUCGCAACCUUGUUAAUCCGAGGACAAUUCGAUCAUCGUCUCUGGCUCCUUGGCGUGCUGUUCAGGAAGCUGCAGUUUACUGGAGCUGGCCUAUGAGAGAUACGAUACUUUGUAUGUUGAGGAAGCCUGUGAAGAUGCGUGGACUAUCUUUUCAUUGACGUUCUUUGACUUACUUCUUUGUCGGGGCACUUGUUGUGCUGCUGUGGGUAUUAGCAACACCUUAGGUUUUAGAUGUCAUGGUGAUUGAUGCUUAGGGUUGUAUAAUUGCAUUUACAGGGCUGAAAUUUUAUUUUAAUCCAAACUUAAUUGCUUAUGAUCUUUCUUAUCACUGAGAGUACCAGACUAUUGAUCAUGAUUUAGUGGAAACUGCGGUCUACAAUUUUUCAA